GAUGAACGCUGGCGGCGUGCCUAAUACAUGCAAGUCGAGCGAACAGACGAGGAGCUUGCUCCUCUGACGUUAGCGGCGGACGGGUGAGUAACACGUGGAUAACCUACCUAUAAGACUGGGAUAACUUCGGGAAACCGGAGCUAAUACCGGAUAACAUGUUGAACCGCAUGGUUCAACAGUGAAAGACGGUCUUGCUGUCACUUAUAGAUGGAUCCGCGCCGCAUUAGCUAGUUGGUAAGGUAACGGCUUACCAAGGCAACGAUGCGUAGCCGACCUGAGAGGGUGAUCGGCCACACUGGAACUGAGACACGGGCCAGACUCCUACGGGAGGCAGCAGUAGGGAAUCUUCCGCAAUGGGCGAAAGCCUGACGGAGCAACGCCGCGUGAGUGAAGAAGGGCUUCGGAUCGUAAAACUCUGUUAUUAGGGAAGAACAAAUGUGUAAGUAACUAUGCACGUCUGGACGGUACCUAAUCAGAAAGCCACGGCUAACUACGU
rnacentral:rRNA from 1 species